rnacentral:rRNA from 1 species
AUUGAACGCUGGCGGCAGGCUUAACACAUGCAAGUCGAGCGGGGUGAUGGUGCUUGCACUAUCACUUAGCGGCGGACGGGUGAGUAAUGCUUAGGAAUAUGCCUAUUAGUGGGGGACAACAUCUCGAAAGGGAUGCUAAUACCGCAUACGUCCUACGGGAGAAAGCAGGGGAUCACUUGUGACCUUGCGCUAAUAGAUGAGCCUAAGUCGGGAUUAGCUAGUUGGUGGGGUAAAGGCCUACCAAGGCGACGAUCUGUAGCGGGUCUGAGAGGAUGAUCCGCCACAAUGGGACGGAGACCCGGCCCAGACUCCUACGGGAGGCAGCAGUGGGGAAUAUUGGACAAUGGGGGGAACCCGGAUCCAGCCAUGCCGCGUGAAUGAAGAAGGCCUUAUGGUUGUAAAGCACUUUAAGCGAGGAGGAGGCUCUUUUGGUUAAUACCCAAGAUGAGUGGACAUUACUCGCAGAAUAAGCACCGGCUAACUCCGUGCCAGCCGCCGCCGUAA